UGGGCAACCUGCCCUCAGCUCUGGGAUAACUCCAAGAAAUUGGGGCUAAUACCGGAUAUGACUGCUGACCGCAUGGUCUGGUGGUGGAAAGAUUUAUCGGCUGGGGAUGGGCCCGCGGCCUAUCAGCUUGUUGGUGGGGUAGUGGCCUACCAAGGCGACGACGGGUAGCCGGCCUGGGAGGGUGACCGGCCACACUGGGACUGAGACACGGCCCAGACUCCUACGGGAG
rnacentral:rRNA from 1 species